rnacentral:rRNA from 1 species
AUUGAACGCUGGCGGAAUGCUUUACACAUGCAAGUCGAACGGUAGAGGGGGCAACCCCUCGAGAGUGGCGAACGGGUGAGUAAUAUAUCGGAACGUGCCCAGUCGUGGGGGAUAACGUAGCGAAAGUUACGCUAAUACCGCAUACGAUCUAAGGAUGAAAGCGGGGGAUCGCAAGACCUCGCGCGAUUGGAGCGGCCGAUAUCAGAUUAGGUAGUUGGUGGGUUAAAGGCUCACCAAGCCAACGAUCUGUAGCUGGUGUGAGAGGACGACCAGCCACACUGGAACUGAGACACGGUCCAGACUCCUACGGGAGGCAGCAGUGGGGAAUUUUGGACAAUGGACGCAAGUCUGAUCCAGCCAUUCCGCGUGCAGGAUGAAGGCCCUCGGGUUGUAAACUGCUUUUGUACGGAACGAAAAGGUCUCUCUUAAUACGGGGGGCUCAUGACGGUACCGUAAGAAUAAGCACCGGCUAACUACGUGCCAGCAGCCGCCGUAA